rnacentral:tRNA from 1 species
GUCCCGGUGGUCUAAUGGAUAAGAUAAUGGAUUCCGGUUCCAUUGAUAGGGGUUCGAUUCCUCUCCGGGGCACCA